rnacentral:rRNA from 1 species
CCUUGGGGGUAUGGCCUACAGGCGACGACGGGUAGCCGGCCUGAGAGGGCGACCGGCCACACUGGGACUGAGACACGGCCCAGACUCCUACGGGAGGCAGCAGUGGGGAAUAUUGCACAAUGGGCGAAAGCCUGAUGCAGCGACGCCGCGUGAGGGAUGACGGCCUUCGGGUUGUAAACCUCUUUCAGCAGGGACGAAGCGAAAGUGACGGUACCUGCAGAAGAAGCACCGGCCAACUACGUGCCACCAGCCGCGGCCG